rnacentral:rRNA from 1 species
AAUGAACGUUGGCGGCGUGGAUUAGGCAUGCAAGUCGAGCGAGAACCCUCCUUCGGGAGGGGGACAGCGGCAAACGGGGUAGGAGGACGUCGGUGACGUACCCUCAGGACCGGGAUAGUCAAGGGAAGCUUUGGGUAAUACCGGAUAACAUCUGCGGAUCAAAUGGUGUGAUUCCGCCUGGGGAGCGGCUGACGCGGUAUUAGCUAGUUGGUAGGGUAACGGCCUACCAAGGCGAAGAUGCCUGGGGGGUGUGAGAGCAUGGCCCCCACCACUGGGACUGAGAUACUGCCCAGACACCUACGGGUGGCUGCAGUCGAGAAUCUUCGGCAAUGGGCGCAAGCCUGACCGAGCGACGCCGCGUGCGGGAUGAAGGCCUUCGGGUUGUAAACCGCUGUCAGGGGGGAUGAAAUGCCUGGGAGCUAUCUCCCAGGCUUGACAGAGCCCCAGAGGAAGCACGGGCUAAGUUCGUGCCAGCCGCCGCGGUAACAC